AGUGGAGAUUGCCAACCUAAAUCAGGAACUCGACAACAGUGGAGAGAUGGUCUGCUCUACGGACACUCAUGUCAAGUGGGCACAGAACAAACUCAAGGCUGAACUUGAUGCUCACAAGGAUACCAAAUCUCAAUUGGACAAGAUGAGUGUGAAGUUUAAAGAAGCCAAGGAGGAAACUCAGCAGAUCCGCCGUGAUUCUCAGGGCAUCAUUAAACAGUACCAGGAAUCUAAAGAGCCUAGGCAAGGAACUCAAACAGAAUGAGUCUGAGCUGCUGGAAGACCAGGUCCUGAAGACCAACUACGAGCUGGUCACAACUGCUGACCACACUCUUCCAGAUGAAGAAAAUAAGAUGGAACACAGAAGACUUGUAGAUAGAUGUAAUUGGAUGUACCACAAUAUGACAUGUACACUGUCGGAUAGGCAUCGAGGAAUGAAAGUGCAAAAAGGUUGCAACCGAUAUUAAAUCAACCAUCUUACACUCACCCCUAAGGCUCAACUGAAUGAUUUACUGUAAACAUGUAUGGCUUCAAAUUAAGUUGAUUUAUGAUGAAGACUGAAGGUUUCAAUGUGAACUUAAUUGUUUCUGAGCAUGUUGUUGCCGUUCUUUUACUGUCUGAAUGAAAUUGUUUUCUA